GCAUGGCUGAAUACUGUGUUCUUUUUAUCAGUAAUUUACACAGCCAGACACCAUGCAAAAGUAAGAUCUUCCCUUUAAAAUGGCUAUGAUGGUAUGCUGAGUUUUUUUUUCACAGCGUGCCGUUAUUAAAAGGGGAUACAAUU